AAUGAACGCUGGCGGCAGGCCUAACACAUGCAAGUCGAGCGGAUGAAGGGAGCUUGCUCUUGGAUUCAGCGGCGGACGGGUGAGUAAUGCCUAGGAAUCUGCCUGGUAGUGGGGGAUAACGUCCGGAAACGGGCGCUAAUACCGCAUACGUCCUGAGGGGGAAAGUGGGGGAUCUUCGGACCUCACGCUAUCAGAUGAGCCUAGGUCGGAUUAGCUAGUUGGUGGGGUAAAGGCCUACCAAGGCGACGAUCCGUAGCUGGUCUGAGAGGAUGAUCAGUCACACUGGAACUGGGACACGGUCCAGACUCCUACGGGAGGCAGCAGUGGGGAAUAUUCGACAAUGGGCGAAAGCCUGAUCCAGCCAUGCCGCGUGUGUGAAGAAGGUCUUCGGAUUGUAAAGCACUUUAAGUUGGGAGGAAGAGCAGUAUGUUAAUACCUUGCUGUUUUGACGUUACCAACAGAAUAAGCACCGGCUAACUUCGUG
rnacentral:rRNA from 1 species